rnacentral:rRNA from 1 species
GAAACUCAAAUGAAUUGACGGGGGCCCGCACAAGCGGUGGAGCAUGUGGUUUAAUUCGAUGAUACGCGAGGAACCUUACCUGGGCUCAAAUGUAUGUUGACGUAUUCUGAAAGGGAUACUUCUUCGGACAAUAUACAAGGUGCUGCAUGGUUGUCGUCAGCUCGUGCCGUGAGGUGUCGGGUUAAGUCCCAUAACGAGCGCAACCCCUAUCAUUAGUUGCCAUCAGGUCAAGCUGGGGACUCUAAUGAAACUGCCUACGCAAGUAGUGAGGAAGGUGGGGAUGACGUCAAAUCAGCACGGCCCUUACGUCCAGGGCUACACACGUGCUACAAUGGCCGGUACAAAGGGCAGCUACCUGGUGACAGGAUGCUAAUCUCAAAAGCCGGUCUCAGUUCGGAUCGGAGUCUGCAACCCGACUCCGUGAAGCUGGAAUCGCCUUAGUAACUCGCCGCAUCAAGUACCGAAUUGGCGGCGUGAAUACGUUCCGGCU